UCCUGGCUCAGGACGAACGCUGGCGGCGUGCUUAACACAUGCAAGUCGAGCGGUAAGGCCCUUCGGGGUACACGAGCGGCGAACGGGUGAGUAACACGUGGGUGAUCUGCCUUGCACUCUGGGAUAAGCCUGGGAAACUGGGUCUAAUACCGGAUAUGACCACGGAUCGCAUGGUUUGUGGUGGAAAGAUUUAUCGGUGCGAGAUGGGCCCGCGGCCUAUCAGCUUGUUGGUGGGGUAAUGGCCUACCAAGGCGACGACGGGUAGCCGACCUGAGAGGGUGACCGGCCACACUGGGACUGAGACACGGCCCAGACUCCUACGGGAGGCAGCAGUGGGGAAUAUUGCACAAUGGGCGGAAGCCUGAUGCAGCGACGCCGCGUGAGGGAUGACGGCCUUCGGGUUGUAAACCUCUUUCGACUCCGACGAAGCGUAAGUGACGGUAGGAGUAGAAGAAGCACCGGCCAACUACGUGCCAGCAGCCGCG
rnacentral:rRNA from 1 species